UGGACGCUGCAGGCCGGUAGCGUUUGGCAAGACGAUGGAGCUGGAGUUCUGUACUAUCCACAACACAAUGCCAGUGAAAUACAGUCCCAGAAUGCAACUGUUUGCUGGUCUACAUGCAGUUGGAAGCAGCUGGUGACUGAUUAGCGGAAGACAAAGACUGCAGAGGAUUGCGACAUCAACAGGCACAAUAAUGUGAACAGUAGCAGUGAGAAAAGUGUAUCACCAGAACAGUGCUUGCAAACAGGUAUGUUUCAUGAGAGUCUGUCUGGGAUUAC